UACGGGGGGGGGUAAGCGUUGUUCGGAAUUACUGGGCGUAAAGGGCUCGUAGGCGGCCAACUAAGUCAUACGUGAAAUCCCUCAGCUUAACUGGGGAACUGCGUCUGAUACUGGAUGGCUUGGAUUCGGGAGAGGAAUGCGGAAUUCCAGGUGUAGCGGUGAAAUGCGUAGAUAUCUGGAGGAACACCGGUGGCGAAGGCGGCAUUCUGGACCGACAUUGACGCUGAGGAGCGAAAGCCAGGGGAGCAAACGGG
rnacentral:rRNA from 1 species